GCACUAUUGAAGAGUCUCAAAAUAGAAUGAAACGGCCGUCCAGUAC
rfam:Schistosoma margrebowiei strain Zambia genome assembly, scaffold: SMRZ_scaffold0000418